CGUUAAAAUACAUCUUUCGCUAGUCAAUUUCAUUGAAAUCCGGCGUGCCGCCCCCCUCCCACCAUCCAACGAAUACGUUAAUAGUUCUCGACAACCUUAUUUCCAGAUAGACUGACAUUAUUUUCAGAAAUCGACACAUUUCUAAACAAUGUAAGGUAGUAAAACCAAGCGAUAAAAUAUUUAGAUAAAGUUUCGUCAAUGGUGAAAGCUAGAUAAAACGAAAAAACAAAGUUGAAUAUUCUUUGGGAUUCUUAUAUUCACGACAGUAGUCUAACCAAAGUGAAGAAAAUUGAAAUGUGUAUUAUUAGAAGCAAAACUCUUUUACGAAGGAACUUUCUUACAAAAAGACAUGUAAUUAUAUUACUUUCAAGCAUAUGUUUCUCAGUUUUAUUAUCGCUCCAAGUAUUUUCGCAAUGGAGAUUCCUGAAAACGAAUGUGACUUUGUUCUCUAGGGGACCAGCAGUGAACGAGACAUUAGCUUAUCAAUGCUGCACCCCGACGAAUAAGUCGAUCCGGACGAAUAUAUUCUUUCUGAAAACUCACAAAACUGGAGGCACAACCGUGCAAAGUGUCCUCAUGCGAUUCGCCAUUAUGAACUCGCUAGAUAUACUUAAAGUAAAUUAUGCUUCUUACUAUUUGCCAUUUUCCGACUCGUCAAUACCUUCCCAACUGAUGACACCCAACAAUAAAUACAACGUGUUCGCGGACCAUGCGCGGUAUGACCCGAAAAUUAAACAAUAUCAAUACCCUGAUACAUCGAUGGUGACGUUACUACGACACCCAAUAAAAUUAUUCCAAUCAU